rnacentral:rRNA from 1 species
AUUGAACGCUGGCGGCAUGCCUUACACAUGCAAGUCGAACGGUAACGGGCCUUCGGGUGCCGACGAGUGGCGAACGGGUGAGUAAUGUAUCGGAACGUACCUUUCAGUGGGGGAUAACGUAGCGAAAGUUACGCUAAUACCGCAUAUUCUGUGCGCAGGAAAGCAGGGGACCCUCGGGCCUUGCGCUGAUUGAGCGGCCGAUAUCAGAUUAGCUAGUUGGUGAGGUAAAGGCUCACCAGGGCGACGAUCUGUAGCGGGUCUGAGAGGAUGAUCCGCCACACUGGAACUGAGACACGGUCCAGACUCCUACGGGAGGCAGCAGUGGGGAAUUUUGGACAAUGGGGGCAACCCUGAUCCAGCCAUGCCGCGUGAGUGAAGAAGGCCUUCGGGUUGUAAAGCUCUUUCGGCCGGGAAGAAAUCGUAUCAGCUAAUACCUGGUGCGGAUGACGGUACCGGCAUAAGAAGCACCGGCUAACUACGUGCCAGCAGCCGCAGUAAGAC